rnacentral:rRNA from 1 species
UACGGGGGGGGCAAGCGUUGUUCGGAAUUACUGGGCGUAAAGGGCGCGUAGGCGGCCUGCUAAGUCGGACGUGAAAUCCCUAGGCUCAACCUAGGAACUGCGUCUGAUACUGGAUGGCUUGAAUCCGGGAGAGGGAUGCAGAAUUCCAGGUGUAGCGGUGAAAUGCGUAGAUAUCUGGAAGAACACCAGUGGCGAAGGCGGUCAACUGGCCCGUAACUGACGCUGAGGCACGAAAGCGUGGGUAGCGAACAGG